UCAUAUAGGUUACACCGUUUUAGCGAUGAGAAGGCCGUCGGAAAUUCUGCUCGGUUUGAGCGUAUUCUUGGGACUGUGGUCGCUUUCGUGCUUGACUCUGUCACAGCGAACCAAAACCUCUUCGUGUGAAAUGUGGCUCGAACGCGCUGUUUUUUUUUUGCCGGUUGAGCUGGUUGUUUUGUUAGGGGUGCACUUCUUGUACAAGGCCGUACCGCAUGUCAUUUUCUACUCGGAUUUCGACGAAGAGGCUGAAUCUUUGAAAAUGGACAUCAAAAACGCUACUCAAGGGCUUUCAGAGAAGGGAUUCGUCUUUGCCAGGGAGCAGUGAUAUACAAAAUGUACAAAUUGG